GGGGAAAUGGCAGCCAUAUCCAUCAGCCAGAGACACUGGGACUUGAGAAAGUGGCUGUUCCUAAUAUCAAUUGACAUUGCCACUCUAAAGGGGAAAAGAAAAAGCAUCCUUGUGUAAAUAUGGAAUAAUUUUCAGUGGAUUUGGGAUGAUUUCCAGAAGUUAGGAAGAAGGGGGAGAGGAAGAGGAGUGACAAGUGACAAUGUGGUUUGGAGAGCAUAAAUUACUGACCACCUUUUCUUAACCACAAUAAGUACCUUAGAUGCAGGAAAAUACAAUUCUUGGGAAGGUGAUCUCAUCAACAAAGAUUACUUUAUUUCAAAUGAACUUGCAACUACGUUUGAUUAAGCAGCAGGUGGUGGAACAUUUUUUGAAAUGGACCAUUUGUUGUAUUAAUAAGCAGGUGAAGGAUGGGACACAUUAGUUCAAAGCAAACAAAGGAGGAGAGAAAUUAGUAGCAAGCUAAGUUCAUUUUCCCCCAGUUCAAAGCUGAAAAGUCUGAGAAAACAAGUGAUUCUGGGCUGACAGAUGACC